GGAGACUUAGCUCAACUGGUAGAGCGUUGGACUCCAAAUCCAACGGUUGCGUGUUCAAGUCACGUAGUCUUCA
rfam:Ichthyophthirius multifiliis unplaced genomic scaffold scaff_1120509251425, whole genome shotgun sequence.